ACUCCUACGGAAGCCACCAGUAGGGAAUUUUCCACAAUGGACGAAAGUCUGAUGGAGCAACCCCGCGUGCAGGAUAACGGCUUUCGGGUUGUAAACUGCUUUUGUAAGUGAAAAAUAUGACAGUACCUCAAGAAAAGGUCGGCUAACUCC
rnacentral:rRNA from 1 species